GCCGGCCUAGCUCAAUUGGUAGAGCAACUGACUUGUAAUCAGGAGGUUGGGGGUUCAAGUCCUCUGGCCGGCACCA
rnacentral:tRNA from 2 species